ensembl:misc_RNA Metazoa_SRP Metazoan signal recognition particle RNA
GCUGGGCGUGGUGGCGCGUGCCUGUAAUCCCAGCUACUUGGGAGGCUGAGGCAGGAGAAUCACUUGAACCUGGGAGGUGGAGGUUGCAGUGAGCCAAGAUUGUGCCACUGCACUCCAGCCUGGGUGACACAGUAAGUCUCUGUCUCAA